AACGCACCUUGCGCCUUUUGGUAUUCCGAAAGGCAUGCCUGUUUGAGUGUCAUGUAGACUCAACUCUCGAGAGGUUUCUUGCGAGUUGGAUUUGGGUGUUGCCAUUUGGCUCGCCUUAAAAGUGUUAGUGGUUUAAGCACUUGAUCGGACGUGAUAAGUUUCGUCCGGCCGUGUGUCGUCGACCGCUCCUAAACCGCCUUGCGGCGCUCUUUGACUCUGACCUCAAAUCAGGUAGGACUACCCGCUGAACUUAA
rnacentral:misc_RNA from 1 species